ACUCAAAUGAAUUGACGGGGGCCCGCACAAGCGGUGGAGCAUGUGGUUCAAUUCGACGCAACGCGAAGAACCUUACCAGCCUUUGACAUGUCCGGUUUGAGAAGCAGAGAUGCAUCUCUUCAGUUCGGCUGGCCGGAACACAGGUGCUGCAUGGCUGUCGUCAGCUCGUGUCGUGAGAUGUUGGGUUAAGUCCCGCAACGAGCGCAACCCUCGCCCUUAGUUGCCAUCAUUCAGUUGGGCACUCUAAGGGGACUGCCGGUGAUAAGCCGCGAGGAAGGUGGGGAUGACGUCAAGUCCUCAUGGCCCUUACAGGCUGGGCUACACACGUGCUACAAUGGCGGUGACAAUGGGAGGCAAUGGAGCGAUCCUGCGCAAAUCUCAAAAAGCCGUCUCAGUUCGGAUUGCACUCUGCAACUCGAGUGCAUGAAGUUGGAAUCGCUAGUAAUCGUGGAUCAGCAUGCCACGGUGAAUACGUUCCCGGGCCUUGCACACACCGCCCGU
rnacentral:rRNA from 1 species